rnacentral:RNase_P_RNA from 1 species
GUGGAAGGCCGGGCGGCCGCUGGCGCGGGCUUGUCCCGCGCUGGAGGAAAGUCCGGACUCGAUGAAGCGCCGGUGCCGGGUAACGCCCGGGCGGGGCAACCCGACGGAAAGCGCCACAGAAAUCAGACCGCCCCUCACGUGUGACGGGUAAGGGUGAAACGGUGGGGUAAGAGCCCACCGGGGGCCUGGCGACAGGACCCGCAUGGCAAGCCCCACCGGGAGCAAUGCCAAAUAGGGAUCGCGCGCCGAAAGGCAGGGCCGCUUCAGCCCGAGCGAUCCGGGUUGGCAGCUUGAGCCGCGCGGCGACGCGCGGCCCAGAUGAAUGGUCGCCCAAGGGCGCAAGCCCUGGACAGGAUCCGGCUUACAGGCCUUCCACGCAC